GCACUCCGUCGGAUUCAUAUUCCUCCCCUCCCUAAUAAACCACACAGGUGGAUGUAACCACCCGGAUCUCGCCAGCUAGCCGGAUUCCCUAUUGUUGCAGGCUUGCUGCCAGGCUCCAGGGUAUAAAAUCCAGCUGUUACUGCUCCUAUCCAACCACCGCAUAUAGGAGUCGCAUCUACCGAUGAGCGCCACCAUGACAACACGGGAGAAAUAGCCGCCGCACCCAGAACCCAUCCUCACCAGCUCCCAGAAUCAGGGGUUUGGUCUGGGGUCUUCGUCGGAGUUCGCGGGAGCACGAGGUGCACUCGCCAGGCACGACUGAUGGCUGGAGCGGAGGGAAUUCUUCACCGGAGCAUGGACGUCGUGGUGGUGUCAUGUGUCGUCGUGGGAGGACUCCCCCACUACACCGCUGCCUAAGCGGGGUUGCAAGGAACCUGAAGCCCAACUCGGAGAAGUACCUGGUGCUACACCAAAAAGACAAGUUGUGUCCUUGAUCACAUUUUUUGACCUAAGAAUAUUUAUGUUUAUAAUAAUCACCAUGGCAUGCUUAGGUUAAAUUGAUGGGACCUAAUAGGUUACCUAGUUUUGUUUACCCUACACCUUGCAUACAAAUGAAUUAUUGGGUAGUCCUGCUAUUGCUUUACCUAGUUUUGGGAGUAAUAACAUUUAUGAAUUAUCAUCAUGUUCUAUUAUAUUGCUAGAUUAUUUA